UCAUUUUAACCAAACCUUGCAUUUAAAUGUGCCAGCGCAAGCACAAGAAAUCAAUCCAAGUUCAGGCCCCCGUUCGCUAAUUAUUAUGUAUUUAUUCCGCCGCUCCCCUAAUUUGGGGGACGGCUCCGUUUCUUUAUGUUAGAGAUAAAGGGAAUCUUCCGAUUUUUUUUCUUUCUUUUUUUUCUAAGCCCGAGAUAGCGAGGCCCUCCAAGCGAGACAGGAAAUUACACAGAGUACAGAGACGGAAAGCGGACGGAGGUUGGAGGCUGACCGGAGCCGAAUGGGCCACGUGGAGAGAGCGGCUCCCCUCGGGGGUGCAGCGAUGUAGAAGACCUCCACCACCCCCAACCUGGGCCAUGACCAGGAUAAGCGUGUGUUGGAUUGAUGGAUGGAUGGACUUUGUCAGAAAAGCCAUU